CCUAUGACUAAACCGUUUAGUGUAAUAAUUUUAUGAGGUUGUUUUGUCCUCCAACGUCGGUGUCUAAUAGCCUUCCCCCUCCGCUAUGUAAGGAAAGCUGCUACAGAUGAGUGAAGUGUUUCGUUUUUAUCACCAUCCUACCACAGUUUCAUUAUAAUCAUCAUCCUAUUUAUUUUGAUUAUUGACUAUUUUAUUUUGGCGCUCCCGGCGAGUGAUGUCAUGUUAGCGCUGACCCUCCGCUCUUCCCUUCCCUUCAGUGACGUUUUGAGCGGGCCCAACAUACAUACACACAAGGACCUCAAACAUGUAAAAGACUGGACGAUCAUCAGAAGCCUGAAACAAUUAGCCGGUUGGCAGAGUGAGAAACCCGGAUGGUAUAAAUCAGCAGGGAGGCAACAGGCUCCAGGAAGGUGAAACCAAAGAAACCACAUCAAAAAUGUCUGCUGUGCCACCUAUUUUUUCAUGGAGUUCACUGAGCGUUUAUAGUAUUGUGUGUUGGAACUAGCUUAUGCCAAACUACACACCCUCUUGCAGUGUGGUUACUACCGGAGAGCACAACUGAAACUGUCCAUUCAGCAAGGUUGUAUGGUGGGUCAGCGAGAAGCAUGACGGAAGCUUCACUAAAUAAAGGGGAAAUUUGUGGCCGAUGUGAGAUCCUCCCACUUAAAUCAGCUAUUUAUAUGGAAUCGUAAGGGCUAUAAUCGUGGUCACCUAAAUAUGACCCUCAGCUUUAGGAAUGGAACGGUUUAACUUGCUUCAUGGCAAAGAGAGAAAAAAAUAGCACGCUAAAGAACACGGUGAAAUAAUGUUUGGCUGUAAUCAACCUGUGUUUGACUCAAAUAUUUUGCUCCAAGUAUUCCUUUUCUAUAGUUACAACAGUGGUGCUGGUAAUCACAGGUUGAGAAACCCAACCAUUUGAAUUUAGAAUAUGCUAUUAUUUCCCCCAAAAAACAACAAAAAAAACAGUGAAAAACUGUAAUGCCUCAAACAUAUGGGAUGUUUUGGAUGAACAUGCAUUUAAAAAAAAAAAAUGUAUAUAUAUAUAUAUAUAUUUAAAAUAUAAAUUUUAUAGUUUUUAAAUUUCAAAUAUAAAUAUUUUCCUGCCAUUAUUUAUGCCAAACUAAUAAAAGCAAAAAAGGCUAAAAAGCUUUUCAUUUUCUUAUAUAUGUUUAUAACUUUGAUCAAUUAAUUUGAAAGAACUAUAGAAAAUAUUGUUUAUUUCUAUAUUUCUUUCAAUUGAAUUCUGAAUAGCACUCAACUGAAUAGCACCCAAAUUUCCUCUACAUUUCCUCUUGGUAGCACUUCAUGGCCUUUGUGGCCUAAAAAGCCCAUAAUUGGAUGAUCCACAGGUUCAUUAGUCUCAUUCAUCAGCCGUCAAAUCAGUUAUUUUUGUAUUCACCCAAUAUUCAGAUGACUGGGGUCCCCUGGGACGAGCUGAGCCCCGCCUCACUCCAGACUACUCUCUAUGACAUUGAGAUUGAGCACAAUUGAUGUGGCUCCCAAAAGGCUUGGUUGCCAAGAUUCAAAAUGAGGAAUGUUUUUGGAACAAUGAACAUAUAGAGGCUGAUUUUCAAUUGUGAUUUUUCCAUUGCACGUGAAGGUGGAUGGAAUAGAGAGCUUAAGUGUUUUUGUGGGCCGUUUCAAGACUUCCAAGAGCAAAACAAAGAAGCAGCUCUUCUUGUAAUGCAUUGGCUAUUUCUUGAAAUGUCAUUCUAGUUCAUUGGCUUUACAUAGUGUUCAUGAUGCAAAAAUCACAUUCUUACUGAAUGACCGUAAUUAUGUAACAAAUACAAAAUAUGUUUGUGAAUUGUCACUCACGCUCAUAUUGCGCAAUACUCCUGUCUGAAGUCUGAUAGAACAUGUUCUUGGUUUCCAGUAGAUUUCCAGGUUUAUGUAAUUGCUAAAAUGUAAGGUGGCCAGUCUGUACAGACUGUUCAUUCUUCACAAUCGGAUUUUACUGUUGCCAGUGUGGCAUGACCUUUGCAAUAAUCCCUCUGUUCCAAAAGGAAGUGAUUCUAAAUCUUAAUAAGGAGAUUUGAGUGGCAGCCCGGCCUGGGUUUAAUAUCUCUAUAAAUUAUUUCAAUAAUUAUCUUUCAAUUUAUUUAGAUUCUUAAAUCUUAAAUGCAUUUCUUAUAUUAUUUGUGUUUUGAAUAGAAAAAUUUGACUGGCUUUAUUGGUGAAGUGGUUUGGUGGUAUUGGCCUGGUCUCUAACCACACUGUUGUUACACCAGUCGUCCAGGGCAUUGAGGGCUUCCCUCGAAAGGCUUGCAUAUAAAUAAGUGUGAAGGCUAGAGGAAAAACAGAGUUUUGACAGAGUCUGUUUUUAUCUGAACAGGAGCUUUCCAGCAUUCUGUUUUUGUUGUUUCCUUUCCCCUUUAAUUGGGAACCUCCUUGAUGUUUUGUUGUUAAUUUCAACUGCUCCCUUUGGGAACCAAUAAUAAUUCCAUUCCAAAUGAGUUCUCAGACUGUGUAUUAGUUGCAAGUUGUCAUUUUGUGAACAUGUUUAAUGUGUCAUAGUGCUGGACUUGUUGUGAUGAUUUAAUGUGCUUGCUGUUGUUGCGGUCACAGGCUGCUUUGUUGCUAACAGAGCUCUUAGCAAAUAAAACCUAUAAUUUAAAGACAAUUUUAGUGAACAAAACAUAUUUAACUCUUUCACGGUGUUGAAGGGAGAAAUUUACUGUUGUGAUCUUGUGCUGCAAAUUUAAAAUGAAAGGAAGAGGUUGGUGUCAGAUGUUUAUUCAUAACCAUUGAUUAGGAAGUC